UUUUGGUAUUUAAUUCCAAAAAUUGUGAAUUUCCAAUAUUUAUUCAGAAAAUCCUAGGUGUCGGGUUUUGACACCGAAAAUGGUUUUUAGUACUAUAUGAAAUAGUGGGAUUUCAAAAAGGAGGAAUAUCAAUUUUUUGGAUCAAGUUGACCGUGUACCCACACACGAGUAAUUUCAUGUGAAUUUCUAAUACGAAGAAAAAGGCCAAGCUCACCAUUUUAAUUGAAGCAUUUGAG
rnacentral:lncRNA from 1 species